CUACGGCCAUAUCGUGUUAAAAUACCGGUUCUUGACUGAUCACCGAAUUUAAGCAACGUUGAACCUGGUCAGUAUCAGAUGGGUGAUCGUUCGGGAAUACCAGGUGCUGUAAG